GCCAGUGUGGUGCAGUGAUUUGAGCACUGGACUACAACUCUGGAGAUCAGGGUUUGAUUCCCAGCUCGGUCA